UACGUAGGGGCCAAGCGUUGUCCGGAAUUAUUGGGCGUAAAGAGCUCGUAGGCGGCUUGUCGCGUCGGUUGUGAAAGCCCGGGGCUUAACCCCGGGUCUGCAGUCGAUACGGGCAGGCUAGAGUUCGGUAGGGGAGAUCGGAAUUCCUGGUGUAGCGGUGAAAUGCGCAGAUAUCAGGAGGAACACCGGUGGCGAAGGCGGAUCUCUGGGCCGAUACUGACGCUGAGGAGCGAAAGCGUGGGGAGCGAACAGG
rnacentral:rRNA from 1 species